UACGUAGGGUGCAAGCGUUGUCCGGAAUUAUUGGGCGUAAAGAGCUCGUAGGCGGUCUGUCACGUCGGCUGUGAAAACCCGAGGCUCAACCUCGGGCCUGCAGUCGAUACGGGCAAACUAGAGUACUGCAGGGGAGACUGGAAUUCCUGGUGUAGCGGUGAAAUGCGCAGAUAUCAGGAGGAACACCGGUGGCGAAGGCGGGUCUCGUGG
rnacentral:rRNA from 1 species